AUCCUGGUCGGACAUCAGGAGGUUAGUGCAAUGGCAUAAGCCAGCUUGACUGCGAGCGUGACGGCGCGAGCAGGUGCGAAAGCAGGUCAUAGUGAUCCGGUGGUUCUGAAUGGAAGGGCCAUCGCUCAACGGAUAAAAGGUACUCCGGGGAUAACAGGCUGAUACCGCCCAAGAGUUCAUAUCGACGGCGGUGUUUGGCACCUCGAUGUCGGCUCAUCACAUCCUGGGGCUGAAGUAGGUCCCAAGGGUAUGGCUGUUCGCCAUUUAAAGUGGUACGCGAGCUGGGUUUAGAACGUCGUGAGACAGUUCGGUCCCUAUCUGCCGUGGGCGCUGGAGAACUGAGGGGGGCUGCUCCUAGUACGAGAGGACCGGAGUGGACGCAUCACUGGUGUUCGGGUUGUCAUGCCAAUGGCACUGCCCGGUAGCUAAAUGCGGAAGAGAUAAGUGCUGAAAGCAUCUAAGCACGAAACUUGCCCCGAGAUGAGUUCUCCCUGACCCUUUAAGGGUCCUGAAGGAACGUUGAAGACGACGACGUUGAUAGGCCGGGUGUGUAAGCGCAGCGAUGCGUUGAGCUAACCGGUACUAAUGAACCGUGAGGCUUAACCUUACAAC
rnacentral:rRNA from 1 species